rfam:Myotis brandtii contig269695, whole genome shotgun sequence.
UGCAGUUCUCAGGUGAUGCACCCGGAACCAGAGAGGAGGGAGCCCGAUUCCAGGGUGCAUCACCCGAGAACCGCC